UGCAGUCGACGAGAGGACAUGGGAAGCUUGCUUCCUAUGAAAUCGAGUGGCAAACGGGUGAGUAACGCGUAAACAACCUGCCCUUCGGAUGGGGAUAACAGCCGGAAACGGCUGCUAAUACCGAAUACGAUCUUUUCGUCGCAUGACGGAAAGAAGAAAGGAUGGCCUCUAUACAAAGCUAUCGCCGAAGGAGGGGUUUGCGUCUGAUUAGCUGGUUGGAGGGGUAACGGCCCAACAAGGCGAUGAUCAGUAGCCGGUCUGAGAGGAUGAACGGCCACAUUGGGACUGAGACACGGCCCAGACUCCUACGGGAGGCAGCAGUGGGGAAUCUUCCGCAAUGGACGAAAGUCUGACGGAGCAACGCCGCGUGAGUGAAGAAGGUCUUCGGAUUGUAAAGCUCUGUUAUACGGGACGAAAAAGACGGAUGCCAACAGUAUCCGUCCGUGACGGUACCGUAAGAGAAAGCCACGGCUAACUACGUGCCAGCAGCCGCGGUAAUACGUAGGUGGCAAGCGUUGUCCGGAAUUAUUGGGCGUAAAGGGCGCGCAGGCGGUUCGGUAAGUCUGUCUUAAAAGUGCGGGGCUUAACCCCGUGAGGGGACGGAAACUGUCGAACUUGAGUGUCGGAGAGGAAAGCGGAAUUCCUAGUGUAGCGGUGAAAUGCGUAGAUAUUAGGAGGAACACCGGUGG
rnacentral:rRNA from 1 species